GUGACCAAGCCUUCAAGUAUUCUGCUUCAGGUGAAAAACUCUCAGGGAUCAGUCUCUAAAGGAUGUGACCUGUGCUAAUGUUUGUCACUCGGGGUCACCACAUGUGGAAUUUGCAGCCCCUCAGACACGUGAUUUUGAUUUCUCCAGCCGCAAAGCCGAGCGUGGGGAUGUUAAAUUGCUCAAGGAGUCAAACACAAUUAUCCGAGUCCCCUCCGUAAGGCGCGUCAGGAGCGCGGGUCCGAAACCGACGCGGUGCGCGGGGGCAAACGCUUCCGUGGGGCUUGCACUCCUCAGGGGGAUGUCAUUCCUGACAAGAAUGGAUUUUCCCUCUUUCACAGCCUGUCUCCUGCUGUCUUGAUGCUUUGGUGGGAGUCUCAUCGGCCGAGUGGAGUUGAUUUUGAUGGGGAAUUGUUCCAAGCUUUCAGGUCCCUCCCUGCGGGCUGGGGUGAGGUGAUGCUGGUGAGGGGCUGAGGGGCUGAUGUCAAAUAAAAAAGGUUUUUGCUUUUGCAAGCCUGGUUAUCUCUUG